CACUCCUGCGGGAGGCAGCAGUGGGGAAUUUUGGACCAUGGGCGAAAGCCUGAUCCAGCCAUGCCGCGUGCAGGAUGAAGGCCUUCGGGUUGUAAACUGCUUUUGUACGGAACGAAACGGCCUUUUCUAAUAAAGAGGGCUAAUGACGGUACCGUAAGAAUAAGCACCGGCUAACUACGUGCCAGCAGCCGCGGUAAUACGUAGGGUGCAAGCGUUAAUCGGAAUUACUGGGCGUAAAGCGUGCGCAGGCGGUUAUGUAAGACAGUUGUGAAAUCCCCGGGCUCAACCUGGGAACUGCAUCUGUGACUGCAUAGCUAGAGUACGGUAGAGGGGGAUGGAAUUCCGCGUGUAGCAGUGAAAUGCGUAGAUAUGCGGAGGAACACCGAUGGCGAAGGCAAUCCCCUGGACCUGUACUGACGCUCAUGCACGAAAGCGUGGGGAGCAAACAGGAUUAGAUACCCCAGUAGUCCCAUG
rnacentral:rRNA from 1 species